CUUGCACGACUUGUAGAUCUUCUCUGUCUCGCACCGCUUCCAAUAUUGCGUUGUGAACUCCAUGCGUGUGAGUACGAUUUCAUUGUGUUCGCGUUUAUCUGUAGGUGUGUAUAUGUCCCUGCAUGUGAAAAGUCUCGUGAGGUGCGUUUCCUCAUAUCAAAACUAAAGAUGUAAAUAAAAAUGCAUAAUCUAUGAUAUUUUUGGAUAAUGAUAGCGAAUUUUUUUUUUUUACGACACUGAUUACUGAUUAUAAUUAUAAAAAGAAAAAGCUUUUUCAGAAUAACUAUUGCAAUUAUAUUAAAAAGAUUUGUUUCCCGCCAGUUACACGAAAGUGGACGAGUCAACCGUAUUUACUUGUGAUUUUACAAAAUUGACAAAAUCAAAAAAACAAGUAUGAAUAUUCUUUCUUUUUCGCGAUAACUAUUUGUUUUCUAAACCGGGAUUCAAUGCUAUUAAUUUAGACAGAGAAAGUCUACAAGAUUCUAUUGAAAAAAAGUGGGAGAAAAUCAAUUAUUGUUAAAUUAAAAAUUAUUAAAAAAAAUUUUCUAAGCGACAUAGAUUCUCCCUUAAAAACAUCCAAGAUGGAACUGAGUGUGCGCACUGGGGAAGCUAGUUUUUAUACUUCGAGCUUUUAGUCUGCCGUGCGCUUAUUGGUGGGGCUACUUUCUGUGCAUUGUGAUUGGCCAGGCGCUCUUGCUGCCAACGUCUAUAAAUAUAGGCUGUUUUUUACAAGCACUUCAAUGAGCAGUUGACUCUUCCAGACGCAACAUCUACGCUGAUGGUUAAAAAAAUAUUUUUAGCUUUUUAUUUUUUGUUAAGACUGGACAACCACUUCCAUUUCCAUCAUCAUCACUUCCAAUUCACAAAAGCAUUAGGAUAUCAAGUAGAUCGAUUAUGUAUUGAAGGGAGAUCUCAUUGAAGGAACAUAAAUCAACAAAAAAGUAAUUUGUUGUCCGCAGUCGAAAAGAUAAUGUGGCUAUUUUCAUCAUCUCUAAUGAAAUUAAAAAAUUCAGUAAAAGAGGAAAUCGACUUUUUGCAGCGUUUUCAGUCAAUAAAAGUUGUCCAGACGAAAACAUAAUGUGGCUGUAUCAUAUAUAUAUAUAUAUAUAUAUAUAUAUAUAUAUCUAAUGGAAUCAAGGAAAAAGGAAAUCGACUUCUCUACCGCUUUCAGCGUUUUCAAUCAAUAUGGUUUUUGGAUACUCCGAGGAAUAUAUUUCCUGUAGAAUUGAAGCGUUCCAAAAUGUCGUCCAGAGCGGCCAAGCGAGAGUUUAUAAGGGGUGGGAGAGAGAGAGAGAUAGAAAAAUCAGGAGAGUCGAUGAGGGUUGCACACGUCGAAAACCAUCGUGCAAGCAUAGCGUGGUGGUGGGUGGUUGGAGAUUGGGGGGGUUUUCUGAAGGUUGAAAGCACCGGGUUGACCAUGGAAGGGGUGGGAGUGGAAAACGAUGAGGGUUGAGGUCUAGGUUCAGGGGCGGCAAUGCCAAGUGGGCGUAUACUUUCGGUUUCAGUUUUGCGCAUGUGCUUCUCAUCUUUUACUCUCUCUCUCUCUCUCUCUCUCUCUAGGCGCUUUUACCCAGAGCCCACUUUCAUGAAUUUUCCGCAGCUUUAUCCACCAUCGCACUCCCUAACGCAAUGUGAACCUUCAUGGGAUCGAAAAUUACAGGGCGUAGCUGAUGGUUCAAGCGUACCAGCCAACCAAACCCCUUUCCCUUUACACACUAUCAUCGGGCAUUGCCAACAAGGGUCUUGUAACAUUUACCUUGCUCUGCUACAUCGUUGCAUUUUUCCCAUAUAGAACAUUGCUAUAUAUAUGUAUGCGAUUUCCAUCCAGCAAUUUUCGCUCACAAAUUAUUUGAGUUUUUUCUUUCGUUAUACGAAUUUGAUAGGGAUUGGUUUUUUUUUUUUUUUUGUCAAAUUCCCCAACCGAAUUUAUUCAUCUUAUAUAAUAAUUCUUAUUAUUUGAAUUUAGUUUAAAUGAAUCGCUGGAAAAUUCCAAAAAUAUUUGCCAUUAAAAUUUCUAUUUGACAAUUAAGAAGUCUGAAUUUUCGAAUUUUCUUGUCACCGAAAUUUAAUUGAUUCAGAUUUUCAUUGAAUUAUUGUCAUUUAUCCGAAUUUUUGUUUAAUCAAAUUCUUAUUUAUUCAAAUUGUUAGUUAACAAAAUGUUUGUUUCAUCGAAUUCUUAUUUAUUCAAAUCGCCGCUGCUGAAACGAAUUUUUGUUCAAUCAAAUUUUUUAUUUACAUUCCAAAUUGUCAGUUGAUUGAAAUUUUGUUUAAUCGAAUUCUUCUGUUCUUUUUUCACUUGGAACAGCAAUAAGUUUCACUAAAACAGCGAAAAUUUUCUUUAUUCUAGAGAAACGUAUCGCUAUUCCAGAUAAAGAUUUUUUUUCCCCGUCUUAUUUAUCAAAAUUGCGUCAUUUUAAUUGAAUCUUUAAUUGACCGAACUGUUCUUUAUCCGAAUUUCUAUUUUCCAAAAUUCCAAUAAAAAAAUUAACAUUUUCAUUCAACAAUCUAUAUGAAAGUAAUAUCAUUUUGUCAAUUAAAGAAUUAAUUAAAUUUUUUUAUCAGACGUCUCUGAAAGCUUAAUGAAUCAAUUUGCAACGUCAUAAAAUGUUGAUUUGCCGCAUUUAAAAUAAUAUUAUACGAAAACAAAAUCGUUCUCGUUUAUAAAUUGAAAAAUUAUUGGAAUGU